rnacentral:rRNA from 1 species
AUUGAACGCUGGCGGCAGGCCUAACACAUGCAAGUCGAACGGUAACAGGAAGAAGUUUGCUUCUUUGCUGACGAGUGGCGGACGGGUGAGUAAUGUCUGGGAAACUGCCUGAUGGAGGGGGAUAACUACUGGAAACGGUAGCUAAUACCGCAUAACGUCGCAAGACCAAAAAGGGGGACCUUCGGGCCUCUUGCCAUCGGAUGUGCCCAGAUGGGAUUAGCUAGUAGGUGGGGUAACGGCUCACCUAGGCGACGAUCCCUAGCUGGUCUGAGAGGAUGACCAGCCACACUGGAACUGAGACACGGUCCAGACUCCUACGGGAGGCAGCAGUGGGGAAUAUUGCACAAUGGGCGCAAGCCUGAUGCAGCCAUGCCGCGUGUAUGAAGAAGGCCUUCGGGUUGUAAAGUACUUUCAGCGGGGAGGAAGGGAGUAAAGUUAAUACCUUUGCUCAUUGACGUUACCCGCAGAAGAAGCACCGGCUAACUCCGUG